GGAGGGUGCAAGCGUUAAUCGGAAUCACUGGGCGUAAAGCGCACGUAGGCGGCUUGGUAAGUCAGGGGUGAAAUCCCACAGCCCAACUGUGGAACUGCCUUUGAUACUGCCAGGCUUGAGUACCGGAGAGGGUGGCGGAAUUCCAGGUGUAGGAGUGAAAUCCGUAGAUAUCUGGAGGAACACCGGUGGCGAAGGCGGCCACCUGGACGGUAACUGACGCUGAGGUGCGAAAGCGUGGGUAGCAAACAGGAUUAGAUACCCUGGUAGUCCACGCUGUAAACGAUGGGUGCUGGGUGCUGGGAUGUAUGUCUCGGUGCCGUAGCUAACGCGAUAAGCACCCCGCCUGGGGAGUACGGUCGCAAGGCUG
rnacentral:rRNA from 1 species